rnacentral:lncRNA from 1 species
GAAGGAAUGAGAAACAUAGCGGAAAAUAGAUCAGAUCUAAAAAGCGCUUGAACAAGGCAAUGACAUGAAAAUACCUCGGGAAUAGAAGCAGAGGUCACCAUUGAUUGACUUUGGAGCUUCGGUCUCUGCGGGGAAGGUUGAGGAUGACCGGUGAUGAAGACGCCCCGAUUUGUGGUGAUGGGAAACUUGGUUGGCUUGAGGUAGAAGAAGAAAGGAUGGAGCGGUUAUAUAAUAGUAUUGUUGAUCGGGUGAAUUCCGAAAAUCGAGGGCAACGCCAUCACAAGGACCGGGAAAAGAAUCAUGAUUGCGGCAAUGACUCUUUUGGUUUUGGAAGGAUAUCGGCUCGGGACCUAUGAAGAUGCUGACAAGAGAAGAAAAUUUUGGAAUAUAAUAUUAUAUCCCAAAAUUGGGGGGCAUGUGUUGACACCGGUUUUUGGCCAGAGUCAACCAUUGUUCUGACAGCCAAUAGAGGAGAAAGGAAGAACCUGAAGUUGACGCCGUGUUGACCAAGACUGGCUGCUGUUGACCACGAUUCCAGAAGCCGAUGGAAGACUAGGCGCGCCUAGUUCGAAGCGAAAUCCACUCCACCAAAUAA